rnacentral:rRNA from 1 species
AGUUAUUAAGGGUAUAUGGUGGAUGCCUUGACAUUAAAAGACGAUGAAGGACGUAGCAGCCUGCGAUAAGCCUCGGGGAGGUGGCAAGCAACCUUUGAGCCGGGGAUUUCCGAAUGGGGGAACCUAUCCCGAUGAAGUCGGGAUGUCCUUAAUUUGAAUUCAUAGAGUUAAGAGACGAGUACCCGGGGAACUGAAACAUCUUAGUACCCGGAGGAAAAGAAAAAAAAAUCCUUCACUAAAGUUACGCGUGACUGUCCCUGCCUAUUGGCAGGCAGGCGCCUAGCUUUAGCGAAGGCAGAUUCCGUUAGUAGUGGCGAGCGAAAGCGGAGCAGCCAAAAUUUUAUCGACUGAACCUUUUGUCCCGAGCAAUCGGGAUCAAUGGGAAAGGAUCCAGGUCCAAAUGUCGGUAGAAUGUUGCAAGAAGUUUGCGUUUGCCCCCUGGAAAGGGCAAGGUAGAGAGACCAAACGUAGCUUCCCUAGCAGAGCGGUCUGGAAAGACCGGCCAAAGACGGUGAUAGCCCGGUACGCGAAAGGGGUUAUGACUCUACGGCAAUCUUUCUUAAGUAAGGCGGGACUCGUGAAAUCCCGUCUGAAUCUCGGGUCGACUAUGACCCAAGGCUAAAUACUUUUAAUGAUCAAUAGUGAACAAGUACCGUGAGGGAAAGGUGAAAAGCAUCCCGGAGAGGGAGGUGAAAUAGUACCUGAAACCAUAUACUUACAAGGAAUCGGAGUCCCGCAGCAAUGCGGGAUGACGGUGUGCCUAUUGAAGAAUGAGCCAACGAGUUUGUUCUAUGCGGCUAACAUAAGCUCCAUUCGGAGCAGAUGUGUAGUGAAAGCGAGGGUUAAUAGCCCGUAUCUUACUUAUAAGGAAGGAGACCCUUCUUGCCUACCGGCAGGCAGGUAGUCUCUUGCCUUAUUUGUAAGAAUGUCGCAUGGACAAGACCCGAAGCCGGGUGAUCUAGCCAUGGCCAGGUUGAAUGUCGUCGAAAGACGGCAGGAGGACCGAACCCACUAGCCGUGCAACACUAGGGGAUGAGCUGUGGUUAGCGGAGAAAUUCCAAUCGAACUCGGCGAUAGCUGGUUCUCCUCGAAAUAGCUUUUGGGCUAGCCUCGGAUGCUAACUAUAGGGGGUAGAGCACUGAUUAAGGGCGGGAUCGUUAAGAUAACCGUCUUUAGACAAACUCCGAAUCCCUAUAGGCGUAAUCCGGGAGUCAGACUGUGGGGGCUAAGCUUCACUAGUCAAAAGGGAAACAGCCCAUGAUCACCAACUAAGGUCCCUAAAUCUAUGCUAAGUGUAAAAGGUGGUGUCGCGACUGCGACAACUAGGAGGUUGGCUUAGAAGCAGCCAUCCUUUAAAGAAAGCGUAACAGCUCACUAGUCAAGUUGCCGCGCGCCGAAAAUUUAUCGGGGCUAAGCAUAGUACCGAAGUUGUGGAUGUUCCGAUGCGAAAGCAUCGGGACAUGGUAGAGGAGCAUUUGCUGGGCAUUGAAGCUCUGUCGCGAGGCAGGGUGGAGCGCAGCGAAGCGAGACUGUUGGCAUAAGUAGCAAAAAGGCAGGUUAAAACCCUGCCCACCGUAAGCCUAAGGGUUCCUGGGCAACGCAAAUCGGCCCAGGGUUAGUCGGUCCUAAGGUGAGUCCCGUGUAGUGCGGGGGUAGCCGAUGGAAGAUGCCGUCAAUAUUCGGCAACUACUGUUUUAUUUCAAAGGAGUGACGCAUUAGUUAAGUUUGAGCGUCCUAUGGUAUGGGCGUUACUGCCAGCAUUGAGCCGUCCUUGGCAAAUCCGGGACAAUUUCGCUCAAAGCUGGCGGUAGAAGUCAAAGGCAAUGCCUGAGACAAUUUGAGUGGAGCUGAUGCCCAGAAAAACUUCUAGAGCUUUCCGUCGUUAGACGGGAUAAAAAUAAAACAGCAACCGUACCGUAAACCGACACAGGUAGGCGAGGCGAGUAGCCUCAGGUGCACGAGAGAACCUUCGUUUAGGAACUCGGCAAAAAAGCGGUCGUAAGUUCGCAAUAAGGCCUGCCUCGAUUUAUCGGGGCCGCAGCGACCGAUCUCAAGUGACUGUUUACCAAAAACACAGCUCCCUGCUAACUCGUAAGAGGAUGUAUAGGGGGUGAUGCCUGGCCAGUGUCAGAACGUUAAGGGGAGAGGUUAGUCCCGCAGCAAUGCGGGGCGAAGCCUUGAUCCGAAGCGCUGAUGAACGCCGGCGAUAACUAUAAUCGUCCUAAGGUAGCGAAAUUCCUUGUCGGGUGAGUUCCGACCUGCACGAAUG